rnacentral:rRNA from 1 species
GACGAACGCUGGCGGCAUGCCUAAUACAUGCAAGUCGAGCGAACAGAUGAAGUGCUCGCACUUCUGACGUUAGCGGCGAACGGGUGAGUAACACGUAAGGAAUCUACCUAUAAGCGGGGGAUAACAUUCGGAAACGGGUGCUAAUACCGCAUAAUAUCUUCUUCCGCAUGGAAGAAGAUUGAAAGACGGCUCUGCUGUCACUUAUAGAUGACCUUGCGGUGCAUUAGUUAGUUGGUGGGGUAAUGGCCUACCAAGACGACGAUGCAUAGCCGACGUGAGAGGGUGAUCGGCCACAUUGGGACGGAGACACGGCCCAAACUCCUACGGGAGGCAGCAGUAGGGAAUCUUCCGCAAUGGGCGAAAGCCUGACGGAGCAAUGCCGCGUGAGUGAAGAAGGCCUUCGGGUCGUAAAACUCUGUUAUAAGAGAAGAACAAAUUGUAGAGUAACUGCUACAGUCUUGACGGUAUCUUAUCAGAAAGCCACGGCUAACUACGUGCCAGCCGCCGCAGUAA